rnacentral:rRNA from 1 species
AACGAACGCUGGCGGCAGGCUUAACACAUGCAAGUCGAGCGCAUCCUUCGGGGUGAGCGGCGGACGGGUGAGUAACGCGUGGGAACGUGCCCUCUUCUACGGAAUAGCCUCGGGAAACUGAGAGUAAUGCCGUAUACGCCCGCAAGGGGAAAGAUUUAUCGGAGGAGGAUCGGCCCGCGUUGGAUUAGGUAGUUAGUGGGGUAACGGCCUACCAAGCCGACGAUCCAUAGCUGGUUUGAGAGGAUGAUCAGCCACACUGGGACUGAGACACGGCCCAGACUCCUACGGGAGGCAGCAGUGGGGAAUCUUGGACAAUGGGGGCAACCCUGAUCCAGCCAUGCCGCGUGAUCGAUGAAGGCCUUAGGGUUGUAAAGAUCUUUCAGCUGGGAAGAUAAUGACGGUACCAGCAGAAGAAGCCCCGGCUAACUCCGUG